rnacentral:rRNA from 1 species
UACGUAGGGCGCAAGCGUUGUCCGGAAUUAUUGGGCGUAAAGAGCUCGUAGGCGGUUUGUCGCGUCUGUCGUGAAAGCCCACAGCUUAACUGUGGGUCUGCGGUGGAUACGGGCAGACUAGAGGCAGGUAGGGGAGAACGGAAUUCCCGGUGUAGCGGUGAAAUGCGUAGAUAUCUGGAGGAACACCGGUGGCGAAGGCGGCAUCCUGGACCAACACUGACGCUGAGUGAGCGAAAGCCAGGGGAGCAAACGGG